UAUCUUCGGGGCAGGGUGUAAUUCCUGACCGGCAGUAAAGCCUGCGAGCCUGAGAAGGUUGAUUCGGUGCAAUUCCGAAGCCGACGGUAUAGUCCGGAUGAAAGAAGAUG
rnacentral:ncRNA from 1 species